AUUGAACGCUGGCGGCGUGCUUAACACAUGCAAGUCGAUCGGUAACAGGUGUAGCAAUACAUGCUGACGAGAGGCGGACGGGUGAGGAAUAUUUGGGAAUCUGCCCAUCAGCGCGGGACAACCCGGGGAAACCCGGGCUAAUACCGCAUACGCUCUACGGAGGAAAGCCGGGGACCGCAAGGCCUGGCACUGAUGGAUGAGCCCAAAUCGGAUUAGCUAGUUGGCGGGGUAACGGCCCACCCAGGCGACGAUCCGUAGCUGGUCUGAGAGGACGAUCAGCCACAUCGGAUCUGAGACACGGUCCGGACUCCUACGGGAGGCAGCAGUGGGGAAUAUUGGUCAAUGGGGGAAACCCUGAUCCAGCGACGCCGCGUGGGUGAAGAAGGCCUGCGGGUUGUAAAGCCCUUUCGGUAGGGACGAAAGCUCUUGCUCUAACAAAGCAGGAGGUUGACUUAACCUACAUAAGAAGCACCGGCUAACUCUGUGCCAGCCGCCGCGGUAAUAC
rnacentral:rRNA from 1 species